UGCAGUCGAACGCAGUAGCAAUACUGAGUGGCAAACGGGUGAGUAUAAUGUGGGUAUCUGCCUUUUGGUUUGGAAUAACAUGAGGAAACUUAUGCUAAUACCGGAUAAGCCUUUACAGGGAAAGUUUUAUACGCCGAAAGAUGAGCCCGCACUUGAUUAGUUUGUUGGUGAGGUAAUGGCUCACCAAGACAAUUAUCAAUAGCUGGUCUGAGAGGACGAUCAGCCACAUUGGGACUGAGACACGGCCCAGACUCCUACGGGAGGCAGCAGUAAGGAAUCUUGCACAAUGGGGGAAACCCUGAUGCAGCGAUGCCGCGUGAGUGAAGAAGGCCCUUGGGUUGUAAAACUCUUUCGUCGGGGAAGAAAAUGACUGUACCCGAAUAAGAAGGUCCGGCUAACUUCGUGCCAGCAGCCGCGGUAAUACGAAGGGACCUAGCGUAGUUCGGAAUUACUGGGCUUAAAGAGCUCGUAGGUGGUUAAAAUAGUUGAUGGUGAAAUCCCAAGGCUCAACCUUGGAACUGCCAUCAAAACUUUUUAGCUAGAGUGUGAUAGAGGAAAGUGGAAUUUCUAGUGUAGAGGUGAAAUUCGUAGAUAUUAGAAAGAACACCAAAUGCGAAGGCAACUUUCUGGGUCACUACUGACACUGAGGAGCGAAAGCAUGGGUAGCGAAGAGGAUUAGAUACCCUCGUAGUCCAUGCCGUAAACGAUGUGUGCUAGACGUUGGAAAUAUAUUUUUCAGUGUCGCAGCGAAAGCAUUAAGCACACCGCCUGGGGAGUACGACCGCAAGGUUAAAACUCAAAUGAAUUGACGGGGACCCGCACAAGCAGUGAAGCAUGUGGUUUAAUUCGAAGAUACGCGCAGAACCUUACCAACACUUGACAUGUUCGUCGCGAGAC
rnacentral:rRNA from 1 species